GUGGGGAAUUUUGGACAAUGGGCGCAAGCCUGAUCCAGCAAUGCCGCGUGCAGGAAGAAGGCCUUCGGGUUGUAAACUGCUUUUGUACGGAACGAAACGGUCCUGGUUAAUACCCGGGGCUAAUGACGGUACCGUAAGAAUAAGCACCGGCUAACUACGUGCCAGCAGCCGCGGUAAUACGUAGGGUGCGAGCGUUAAUCGGAAUUACUGGGCGUAAAGCGUGCGCAGGCGGUUUUGUAAGAUCGAUGUGAAAUCCCCGGGCUCAACCUGGGAACUGCAUUGGUGACUGCAAGGCUGGAGUGCGGCAGAGGGGGAUGGAAUUCCGCGUGUAGCAGUGAAAUGCGUAGAUAUGCGGAGGAACACCGAUGGCGAAGGCAAUCCCCUGGGCCUGCACUGACGCUCAUGCACGAAAGCGUGGGGAGCAAACAGGAUUAGAUACCCCUGUAGUCC
rnacentral:rRNA from 1 species